AACAUGGCGGACGUGGAGGAAAGUUUUGCUUCUCGUCUUAAGUCAGAUUUAUCUCGCAUCAAGGACUUCCUCGUAGAGAAUGAGAAUAUCAUAAACGCUCACAAUGUAGACUUCUUCACUAAAGAUCUAUGGAAUACAUGUUUACCCAAAGGAAUACGAGAUGAUUUGGAUAAACUUUCAGUAGAAGAGGUCGCUUCCUUACCUUCUCUGUUUCUUCAAGGAAUGGAAAAUCCCGAAGGCUGUUCUUCUGGUGUUUUAAAGCAAUGCAGCAACUUGGUAGAUCUUCUUUCUCGUGUAAGAAGUGUUCAUUUGAGGAGUUUUCCUCACGUACAAGAAGGACAAUAUUUUAAGAGAGGACUUGAUAUUGUGGGGAAACAUGCGUCAGCUUUGUCUUCAUUCAUGAUGAGUCCAAAGAAAGCUUACGAAGUUGAUGUCAUGUCUCAAGCCGUGCAUGAUCUUGUUCAGAGGACUAAAGUUGAUAAGGUUGUUGACCUGGGUAGCGGUAAAGGCUAUCUCAGCCAAUACUUAGCAUUGAAACAUGGGAUACCUGUGUUGGGUAUAGACUCAAGAGAAUCAAACACGAUGAAUGCUGAAAAAAGGAACGAAAAGACCUUAAAAGUGUGGCAUUCUCUGCUCAAAAGAAGCCAAAAUCAAGAGAAUUCUUAUAGUAGGACUAAAGAAUCUUGCAGUCAAUAUGUUGUCGAUCAUUCAAAUGAUACAAGUCUAGGUGCAGUUUCACUUGGAAGUGACAAUGUUCCGGAAUCAUGGGAAAGCUCUUCAACUGUAGACAAUUCAUCAUCAUCAUCAUCAUCAAAUGAUAUGCAUCCGUAUUCUUCUUCAAAAAAGAUUUCAAUAGGUCACUGUGAAGAUGGGAAUAUUCAGAACACUGUUUUACCUGGAAAGGAUGACAUCCCUGAUAAAGAUGUUCAGAAAUCAUGUUUGAAAACUAUUGAAACUUCAAAACACGAUUCAUACCUUCCUGUCACAGCACAUGUUAGUAGCAGUGCACAGAUAUAUCAGAACCUUGAGGCUUUGUUUGAGAAGAAAAAUACCAGUAUUUGUAAUGACAUAAAUAAAGGGAUUAUUUUAGUUGGUUUGCAUACUUGUGGUGACCUGGCUCCAACAGCUAUCAAUAUUUUUAUCAAAGACUCAGUUGUGAAAGCUCUCUGUCUAGUUGGUUGCUGCUACCAUUUACUGUCACAGCCUACAGACUCUGAAACACCAAUUGAAAUGGAAGAAAACAUGCAGUCUUGUGAAGGCCUUGAAGCUGAACAUGGCUUCCCCUUGAGUGAUUUUCUAAAACAGCAAAACUUUAGGGUCAGCAGGAAUGCUACCAUGGUAGCACAACAGGCAGCAGAUAGGAUUGCUUCAGAAUGCAAGAUACCAGCACCAAGUAUAUUCUAUCGUGCGGUACUGCAGGUUAUACUCAAGGAGAAAUUAGGCUUAGAUACAACAGGAAUGCAUGUUGGAAGAAUUGGAGCGAAGUGCAAAACGUUUACAGAAUACAUCCAUAAAAGUUUUAAGAGGCUUGGCCUGGAAAACAAAAUGAUCCCAUUUAUGUUCCACAGAUUUCAGAUGAAGAAAUACAGGCAUAUUAUAGAAGAUUUCAAGACAGGGAACGUGAAAUAAGGGCGUUUCAUCAGCUGCGGGCUUGCAUUGCACCUUGUAUUGAAAGUGUGUUUCUGAUGGACCGACUAUGUUAUCUACACGAAAAGGGUAUGACCAAUGCUAGAAUAGUAGCCAUGUUUGAUCCCGUGAAGUCUCCCAGAUGUUAUGCAAUCA
rnacentral:misc_RNA from 1 species